AGAAGACACGUGAAAUUCCUCGCAACGAAUUGUAUCUACGUAUAAUAAUUUAAUUUAGGAAGAUAAAAGUAGCCGAGUACUAUACAGAGACCACUGCUUACUUCGUAGUUCGUAUAAGAUACUAGAUCCAGUUAAUAAGAUAGAACGUUAAUAAGAUUUUCAGAGCUUCCACUACUAACGCUUUCUGCUAAAACGUUUGCUUUAUCGUAUAUAUUGUAAACAUUUCUUUUAUGGAGAAGUAAUUACCUACAAUUCAUAUCUCCCUUAAAAAGAUUGAAAGAAUAAAAAGAGAAAGUAAAAAUACAUACAUACAUAUAUCUGAAGUUUGAGCAAAACACGAACAAAUUAUUAUCGGUAUGCGCGAUUUUAUAUUUCAAUUAUAUAUUAAAUAUCUUUGUAAAACAUUAUAAAUAUGAAAAUUCGGUGAUUGCAGCAGGGAUAAACAAAUGACAGUAUGUAUAGUCGAUGAUACGUGUGAUUUGAGCUAAAAAUCAUGCGAAAUAAUCAUAAAAUAUUCAUAAAAUCGUGUUAUUGUUUAAAAAAGAUUGGAUCCAAAAGGUCUCAUCAAUAGUCAUGCGAGUGUUAAUACUAGAGGAAAAAUACUGAAUAGUAAGGUACAGACAUACAUUUGCAUUCAAAGGCGUGAUAUUAUAUUAUGUCCUACUGAACUAUAUUUUUAUAUGAAACUGUUUUAAGCUUCGUA
rnacentral:misc_RNA from 1 species